UACAGAGGGGGCAAGCGUUGUUCGGAAUCACUGGGCGUAAAGGGCGCGUAGGCGGCCGAUUAAGUCGGGGGUGAAAGCCUGUGGCUCAACCACAGAAUUGCCUUCGAUACUGAUUGGCUUGAGACCGGAAGAGGUCAGUGGAACUGCGAGUGUAGAGGUGAAAUUCGUAGAUAUUCGCAAGAACACCAGUGGCGAAGGCGGCUGACUGGUCCGGUUCUGACGCUGAGGCGCGAAAGCGUGGGGAGCAAACAGG
rnacentral:rRNA from 1 species